rnacentral:snRNA from 1 species
GUGUUCAUGUCUGCAGCACACAUAUUAAAAUUGGAAUGAUACAGAGCAGAUUAGCAUGGUCCCUGAGCAAGGAUGAUAUACAAAUUCAUGAAGCAGUCCAUAUUUUU